GGCGAACGCUGGCGGCGUGCUUAACACAUGCAAGUCGAACGGAAAGGCCCUGCUUUUGUGGUGUGCUCGAGUGGCGAACGGGUGAGUAACACGUGAGUAACCUGCCCUUGACUUUGGGAUAACUUCAGGAAACUGGGGCUAAUACCGUAUAGGAGCUCCUGCUGCAUGGUGGGGGUUGGAAAGUUUCGGCGGUUGGGGUUGGACUCGCGGGUGAUCAGCUAGUUAGUUGGGUAGUGGCUUGCCAAGGCAUGGACGGAUAGGCGGCACGAGAGGGUGAACGGGCACCUUGGUACUACGGUACGGACCAGAGGCGUACGGGAGGCAGCAGUGGGGAAUAUUGUACAAUGGGCCGAAGUGUGUUGAAGAGACGCUGCGUGCGUGAUGCCGGUCUUCUGGUUGUAAAACGCUUUCGGUUGUGACGCCGCGUGAGUGACGGUACUGGGUGAAGAAGCACCGGCUAACUACGUG
rnacentral:rRNA from 1 species